rnacentral:lncRNA from 12 species
GGUUUUCCUUCUAGUCAUUUUGCUCAGUGCAGAGUGGCCAAAAGCAAAUUGUAUUGGGAAAAAGAGAAAAAGAGAGGAGAGAAAGAAGGAAAUAAAAGAGAAAGAGAAAAAAAAGGGAAGAAAAGAAAAAAAAAAAACGAGAAAAAAGAAAAAAAAAAGAAGAAAAAGAGAACGAAAAAGAAAGGAGAAAAAAAGGGGGUGGGGGAAGGAAACAAAUCAAAAAGCAAAACAAAACAAAACAAAACAAAACAAAACAAAACAAAAAAAAGAAGAACCACCGGGGAGUAUCUUCUGAUUCUGUGUACUUUAAGUCCCUUGGCUUCUCCUGGAGGUUGUCAGUCUAGCUGGUCUUCUGGGGGAGGGGCCUGUUGUGCUGGUUUUCAGGUGUUAGCAGUUGGGGGAGCUGCUGUGCCCCUGCCUGGUGCAGGGCUCAGUGGGGGUUGUUCACCCCGUGAGGCCGCAGGAGCAACAGCCCCAGUGGCGGGGCAGCUCUGGAAACCUGGAUUCAGCUCCGGCAGGAACUCCGUCUGCAGGGCCUGGAGGCUCCGGGCGGGGCCGCUGAUCUGCUCAGCUGGGGCAGGAGCUUCCUCGCUGUCCUGGGCCCUCCCGGCCUCUGCCUGUCCCGGGGGAGGCCGGAUCCUGGGCUGUGUCCCGGCGCCCUGUGCUCCGGAGCCUGCGCUGGUGUAUUCGCACUCCCGGGCCGCGCAGCCCCCUCCGCGGAGCCGCCGCCCGAGCCCCUCCGAGCUUCUCCUGGAACCGCGCAGCCCCCUCCGCACGGAGCCUCUUCCUCUGCCCGAGCCCCUUCAGCUGCUCCGGGUCCCGCCGGGUCCCGCCGUGCGCGCUGCAGCCCUUAGGGAGCUCGGCGCACUCUCCUGGGGCGCAGGUGUCUGUUACUGCCCCAGGGAACCCGAGGGCAUCCCCGCCCUCCUGGGUCCUGCUCCACCUCCCCGCGAGCCCCUUUCCCCCGGGAAGGUCGGUGCAGCUCCUGCUCCUCCGGGACGGGGCUCUCCUGUCCUGGGGACACUCGCCCCGGCCUCAGCCCGGCUCCCUGCGGCCCCUCCCCCUUGGAGGCCUUUGUUUCUUUACUUCUUUUCCCCCGUCUUCCUACCUUGA